CUAUUUAGGGCUAUUUGUAUGCUCAGUGAAUAACUGCUCAUUGAUGGCCUUUUUCCAGGGGAGCAAAGGUCAACAAGGUCAUCUCGGUGAGACUGGGCCAGCCGGCGUGCCAGGAGAGCCAGGAUUUGUUGGGCAGAAGGGAGCAAGAGGAACCAUCGGACCAGUGGGUGCUCCAGGGAGAAUGGGCCAACAAGGAGACCCGGGCAUAUCAGGUUACAAGGGUCACGUUGGACCACCAGGCCCACUGGGACCACCUGGGCCAAAAGGGUGAACAGGGAGAUGACAGCAAAUUAGAAGGUCUCCCAGGUCCUGAAGGUGACAGAGUGAGUUUCCGAGAUUUAGCAGUUUUUCAAGCGCUGGUUCUCUUUGUGCUCUUCCUGAUUGUUUAUUAUGUUUUCCAAUCUUAAUCCAGGGUCGUCCUGGAGACAGAGGGGAGAGAGGAGAACCAGGUGACCCUGGACAGGCU
rnacentral:lncRNA from 1 species